rnacentral:rRNA from 1 species
GACGAACGCUGGCGGCGUGCCUAAUACAUGCAAGUCGAACGCAGUGGGGCCGGGUGAGUAACACGUGGGUAACCUCCCAUCAGAGGGGAUAACACUUGGAAACAGGUGCUAAACCGAUACUGAUGGAUGGACCCGCGGUGCAUUAGCUAGUUGGUGAGGGAACGGCUCACCAAGGCCCCGAUGCAUAGCCGACCGGCGAGGGUGAUCGGCCACACUGGAACGGAGACAGGGCCCGGACUCCUACGGGAGGCAGCAGUAGGGAAUCUGCGGCAAUGGAGGAAAGUCUGACCGAGCAACGCCGCGUGAGGGAAGAGGGUUUUCGGAUCGUAAAACUCUGUUGUUAGAGAAGCGGUAUCUAACCAGAAAGCCACGGCUAACUACGUGCCAGCAGCCGCGGUAAUUC